AGUGAACGCUGGCGGUAGGCCUAACACAUGCAAGUCGAACGGCAGCACAGUAAGAGCUUGCUCUUACGGGUGGCGAGUGGCGGACGGGUGAGGAAUACAUCGGAAUCUACUUUUUCGUGGGGGAUAACGUAGGGAAACUUACGCUAAUACCGCAUACGACCUACGGGUGAAAGCAGGGGAUAUUCGGACCUUGCGCGAUUGAAUGAGCCGAUGUCGGAUUAGCUAGUUGGCGGGGUAAAGGCCCACCAAGGCGACGAUCCGUAGCUGGUCUGAGAGGAUGAUCAGCCACACUGGAACUGAGACACGGUCCAGACUCCUACGGGAGGCAGCAGUGGGGAAUAUUGGACAAAGGGCGCAAGCCUGAUCCAGCCAUACCGCGUGGGUGAAGAAGGCCUUCGGGUUGUAAAGCCCUUUUGUUGGGAAAGAAAAGCAGCAGGUUAAUACCCCGCUGUUCUGACGGUACCCAAAGAAUAAGCACCGGCUAACUUCGUG
rnacentral:rRNA from 1 species